CCUACGGGAGGCAGCAGUGAGGAAUAUUGGUCAAUGGACGAGAGUCUGAACCAGCCAAGUAGCGUGAAGAAUGACUGCCCUAUGGGUUGUAAACUUCUUUUAUAUGGGAAUAAAAUGUUGCUCGUGUGGGCUUUUGUAUGUAUCAUAUGAAUAAGGAUAGGCUAAAUCCGUGCCAGCGGCGGCGGUAAUACGGAGGAUCCGAGCGUUAUCUGGAUUUAUUGGGUUUAAAGGGAGCGUAGGUGGAUUGUUAAGGCAGUUGUGAAAGUCUGCGGCUCAACCGUAAAAUUGCAGUUGAAACUGGCAGUCUUGAGUACAGUAGAGGUGGGCGGAAUUCGUGGUGUAGCGGUGAAAUGCUUAGAUAUCACGAAGAACUCCGAUUGCGAAGGCAGCUGACUGGACUGCAACUGACACUGAGGCUCGAAAGUGUGGGUAUCAAACAGGAUUAGAUACCCUUGUAGUC
rnacentral:rRNA from 1 species